rnacentral:rRNA from 1 species
UUGAACGCUGGCGGCAUGCUUUACACAUGCAAGUCGAACGGCAGCGCGGGCUUCGGCCUGGCGGCGAGUGGCGAACGGGUGAGUAAUGCAUCGGAACGUGCCCAGUAGUGGGGGAUAGCCCGGCGAAAGCCGGAUUAAUACCGCAUACGACCUGAGGGUGAAAGCGGGGGACCGAAAGGCCUCGCGCUAUUGGAGCGGCCGAUGUCGGAUUAGCUAGUUGGUGGGGUAAGGCUUACCAAGGCGACGAUCCGUAGCUGGUCUGAGAGGACGACCAGCCACACUGGGACUGAGACACGGCCCAGACUCCUACGGGAGGCAGCAGUGGGGAAUUUUGGACAAUGGGGGCAACCCUGAUCCAGCCAUGCCGCGUGCGGGAAGAAGGCCUUCGGGUUGUAAACCGCUUUUGUUCGGGAAGAAAUCCUCUGGGCUAAUACCCCGGGGGGAUGACGGUACCGGAAGAAUAAGCACCGGCUAACUACGUG